GUGCCAGCAGCGGCGGUAAUACGUAUGUCCCGAGCGUUAUCCGGAUUUAUUGGGCGUAAAGCGAGCGCAGACGGUUGAUUAAGUCUGAUGUGAAAGCCCGGAGCUCAACUCCGGAAUGGCAUUGGAAACUGGUUAACUUGAGUGCAGUAGAGGUAAGUGGAACUCCAUGUGUAGCGGUGGAAUGCGUAGAUAUAUGGAAGAACACCAGUGGCGAAGGCGGCUUACUGGACUGUAACUGACGUUGAGGCUCGAAAGUGUGGGUAGCAAACAGGAUUAGAUACCCUGGUAGUCCACACCGUAAACGAUGAACACUAGGUGUUAGGAGUUUCCGCCUCUUAGUGCCGAAGCUAACGCAUUAAGUGUUCCGCUGGGAGUACGACCGCAAGGUUGAAACUCAAAGGAUUGGACGGGACCGCACGAAGC
rnacentral:rRNA from 1 species